UACGUAGGGCGCAAGCGUUAUCCGGAAUUAUUGGGCGUAAAGAGCUCGUAGGCGGUUUGUCGCGUCUGCCGUGAAAGUCCGGGGCUCAACUCCGGAUCUGCGGUGGGUACGGGCAGACUAGAGUGAUGUAGGGGAGACUGGAAUUCCUGGUGUAGCGGUGAAAUGCGCAGAUAUCAGGAGGAACACCGAUGGCGAAGGCAGGUCUCUGGGCAUCUCCUGACGCUGAGGCGCGAAAGCGUGGGGAGCAAACGGG
rnacentral:rRNA from 1 species